UUUUUUUUUUUUUUUUUUUUUUUUUUUAAAUCAUCUGUGUCCAAAAGCACUAUCCUGUGUUUUGGGUGCCAUUAUCAUUCAAAUCGUGUCCAAAAAAGUCUAGAAAUAUCCCGAAGCUAGAAAGCGUCUGGAGUGUGCCAAGGCCGACUACGGCUCUCGCUGCAAGAUAGUUGCCAGUCUGAUUGGAAUGUCUGAAAAGAAUGAUUAGAAUUGCAGCGUUCUGCUUGAUUUGAAGAGGGCUCCCCAGAGUGAGGUGGAGACCGAGAAAUCCACCUGCUACAUAUAUACACAUAUUUUAUAUGUGUGUUUAGUGGAUAUAUACAGAGCUAUGGAGGAAUUGAUCCUUGGCAGCAGCUCUCCCAAGAGGCAAGGCCAAGCAACUCCUGGAUGCUUUGUCAACUCAAGUCAUGGCAGAGAACAUGCAGAGAGAUCAUCUUCAGUAUAUAUGAGCGGAGACUGUCCAACUCCUCAAGUGGUCAUGAAGAGAAGCAGAGAUUGUCAGCAGAACCAACUGAUCAGCCAAUCAUUUAAAAAUUGUAUUUCUCCUCAAAGUUAUUACCAGCUUAAAACUAGUGUCUUUUGCUAUAAGCUAUCUUUGUUGAAGAGUUCAUCUUCCCAUGCUUGCAGUAGUUGCAAACAUCUGCCUAUGCUAUUUCAACAUGAGUUCCUGUAUGGCCAAGCAGUAGGGCUGCAAACCAUAUACUACUCCAUUUCAAAUGAGAAUUGGGCAGGUGUAAGCCAGCUAACCAUUUCAGAAGCUAUACCUAAGGAGAAAAAAAAAUAGUGUGAAUUGCAAGAAAUUAAGACUCACGGGAAAAAAUAAUAAAAUUGUCAAAUGUCCUUGCCA
rnacentral:lncRNA from 1 species